GGCAGGUGUGACCAGCUGUGCUUGGGAGUGUCGGGGGCAGCCUUUAUUCAGAAACUAUUUGCCUUGAAGUCAAACCUGGGUAUAGGACUUUCUGAUGAGCACUGAAGAAAUAUUAAUGGAACUUUCCAAACACCAUGUUUCCUUAGCAUCUGUGGCUCUGAGUUCUCAAUCCGAGCUGGACUCCCGUGAGAUGGGAUUCUACUUCAAGCUGGCAAAACAUGGUUUCCUGUGUGUAUAGGAAGGAAGCGCUCUUUUAAGGGCAUCCCAGGCAUCAAACAGAUCCGGUCAAAUUAGAGGCAGAGAUACUGAGGCAGAGAUGCUGAUGGUUUGAUCCUUGACUUGGAGGCCUAAAGGCGUUGGCUGAAGCCAUGAGAAGAGCAGGCUGGAUAAUGGAUGUUACCCUGGGCCUCUGAUGGAGGCUCUUAAGUCCUACAGCGUAUUGCCUCUCUGCUCACUUCCCAUUUGUCUUGUUCCUUGCUUCCAGUAGACAUGUUAGCUAUGGUUAAUUGAGCAUGUCACAUGCGGACUAUCAUCAAGAUGGUACUUGCGUCCAUGACCUCCUUUAACCUCCUUGGAAGGAGACCUUCUCACCUCUGUGAUACAGAGACAAAAGGGCAGUGCAGCGGGAGAAAGUCCACGGACUGGUGGUCUGAUCCUGGGAGUAGAGGAUCUUCUCUCACCCGGGAAGAAGACUGAGGCAGAAAGAUGAGACCUGCAUGCUGCGGCCAUAAAAGUCCUGAGCUGUGAGCUUGUGUCGAUGGGACCGCAAGUCUGCCCCCAUCAUUGCGGGCACCUUGCAGCUGCUUCUGGCAACCAGGUUCUAUGACCGCAAUGAAGAACAAGGUGGUAACUUGCAUCCUUGUCGAAAAGCGUGACUAAUGUGAAGCUUUUGCAUUUUCCUUUGUUUUGGCACCAGGAUGAAAAUUGACCCCUAAUACGAAGAAGGCCUUGAUGCACUUACUCCCACAGUUGGAUAGACAGACCCAAAGUGUCGAAACUUCACAGAAUCCAGCAGAAACAGACCCCUGCUGUUGUUAGAUUUUUUUUCCUUAAAGUGAACAAGGACAGGAGUUUCCAUAGCCCCAGAAUCACCAGGACAGAACAGUUCCAUUGAAUAGACCAUUGCUAUCCUAUCCCAAAACGCCCCUGUGAGUUCUGAUGAGUCCAGUUGCAAAUGCUUCCGGUUUCCCCUGUUCGAUCUUCGAUAUGACCGCUCCUCCCUGCUGGAUGGCUGGGAAGGAAAGACUUCCUUUGGAUUCAAAAUGGCGAUUGAUGCAUGAACAUCUUCCAUAAACACUGGGACUCAGUUGGAGACUCACUCCAAGCUCUUUCUUGCUGUAAUUUUUCUUAGAACCCUGCAUUGUACUCCAUCCUUCCCUUUCCUGGGUUCAUGGAAUCCACGUUCCCAAUCACAGAAGUAUGAGGGCUGUUGCUUGAAUGAGCUGACAGGUACCUCUUUUCAUGCCAUUAAUGUGGCCCUCUUCUCCACGUGUGAAAUAUCACACUUGUAAACAUUUUACCCACAGGUUUAUUUGAAAGGAGAAGCUGUUUUCAGGAGAAGAAACAGGCCCUGGUUCUGAUUUUCCCCAUGAAUGUUCUGAGUCAGCCAAAAGGAUACCUACACCCAAUGGGCAUCAAGAAUGGGAAAGAAAGGAAUUCCAUAUAAACUUCUGUAAGGCAAAAAACAAAGACGGGUUUUAUCUUCAGUGUGACCACAACUUUCACUUUAAAUAAGUUUUACUUAAAUCACAGCGUUUGAAAUUUACAUCCAGGGUCUGCCAGGCAUUAGGCUCUCUGCUUUUAUAGGAAGAUAGUUCCCUCUUAACUGGCUCACGGGGUACAAAGGGAGGCAUCUGGGUACCACGUGAGGCAUAGCUUUAAUGUCACCUCUCCCAGGCUGAGAAGUCAGCUCUGCACUCUGGCACGGGUCUUGAUUCCACCUCCUUGGCUACAAGCUAAAGAAACAGUGAUCACAAACUGCUCUCAGUCUGUGUCCUCAAAGAGACUGUGAGCUCUUUGAGGCAGAAGGCUGUAUCUUAUUCAGUUGUAGUCGUUGGUCCUGUCCCCCUUGUCUGCUACA